rnacentral:rRNA from 1 species
UGGUGCCAGCAGCCGCGGUAAUUCCAGCUCCCAAUAGCGUAUAUUAAAGUUGUUGUGGUUAAAAAGCUCGUAGUAGAACCUUGGGCCUGGCUGGCCGGUCCGCCUCACCGCGUGCACUGGUCCGGCCGGGCCUUUCCCCCUGUGGAACCUCAUGCCCUUCACUGGGUGUGUGGGAAAACAGGACUUUUACUUUGAAAAAAUUAGAGUGCUCCAGGCAGGCCUAUGCUCGAAUACAUUAGCAUGGAAUAAUAGAAUAGGACGUGUGGUUCUAUUUUGUUGGUUUCUAGGACCGCCGUAAUGAUUAAUAGGGACAGUCGGGGGCAUCAGUAUUCAAUUGUCAGAGGUGAAAUUCUUGGAUUUAUUGAAGACUAACUACUGCGAAAGCAUUUGCCAAGGAUGUUUUCAUUUAUCAGGAACGAAAGUUAGGGGAUCGAAGACGAUCAGAUACCGUCGUAGUCUUAACCAUAAACUAUGCCGACUAGGGAUCGGACGAUGUUAUUUUUUGACUCGUUCGGCACCUUACGAGAAAUCA